AAUGAACGCUGGCGGCAGGCCUAAAACAUGCAAGUCGAGCGCCUGUAGCAAUACAGGAGCGGCGCACGGGUGCGUAACACGUGGGAAUAUGCCUUUUGGUACGGAACAACUCCGGGAAACUGGAGCUAAUACCGUAUGGUCCCUUCGGGGUAAAGAUUUAUCGCCAAAAGAUUAGCCCGCGCUGGAUUAGCUAGUUGGUGAGGUAAUGGCUCACCAAGGCGACGAUCCAUAGCUGGUCUGAGAGGACGAUCAGCCACACUGGGACUGAGACACGGCCCAGACUCCUACGGGAGGCAGCAGUUAGGAAUAUUGGACAAUGGGCGCAAGCCUGAUCCAGCCAUGCCGCGUGAGCGAUGAAGGCCUUCGGGUUGUAAAGCUCUUUAGUCCACGAAUAUAAUGACUGUAGUGGAAGAAUAAGCCCCGGCUAACUUCGUGCCAGCCGCCGCAGUAACAC
rnacentral:rRNA from 1 species